GAGUGAGGAUGAGAUUGAGAGAGAGGAUAAAAGGGGAGGAUAGGAGGGAGGAGUAAUAAAAGUGAAAACAAGAACUAAAUAGAUUUCAGUUUUUAGUUCUUAUUUUCACUUUUGUUACUCUUCCCUCCCAUCCUCCCCUUACAUCUUCCCUCUCAAUCUCAUCUCCACUUU
rnacentral:snoRNA from 1 species